GCGCCUGUAGCUCAGUCGGACAGAGCAACGGCCUUCUAAGCCGUGGGUCAGGGGUUCGAAUCCCUUCAGGCGUGCCA
rnacentral:tRNA from 1 species